GAUGAAGAACGCAGCGAAAUGCGAUACGUAAUGUGAAUUGUAGAAUUCAGUGAAUCAUCGAGUCUUUGAACGCACAUUGCGCCCUCUGGUAUUCCGGAGGGCAUGCCUGUCCGAGCGUCAUUGCUGCCCUCAAGCACGGCUUGUGUGUUGGGCCCCGUCCUCCUUCCGGGGGACGGGUCCGAAAGGCAGCGGCGGCACCGCGUCCGGUCCUCAAGCGUAUGGGGCUUUGUCACUCGCUUUGUAGGCCUGGCCGGCGCUUGCCGAUCAACCAAACUUUUUAUCAGGUUGACCUCGGAUCAGGUAGGGAUACCCGCUGAACUUAAGCAUAUCAAUAAGCGGAGGA
rnacentral:misc_RNA from 1 species